UGGGACGGAAGCUGCCCAAGAAGCUGCGAGAAAAAGAAAGCUAGUUUCUUCAAAUUGCUGCCGCCUAUCACUCUCUCUCUUUGUUUAUUUUUUAAAAAAAAUUAUGCUUUUGAAAUUAACUAACUUUAAGAAACGGGAAUUAAUUCUGGAUAUGUGGGUGAUAAAGUUUUAAACAGAGAUUGUUUUGCAAAUUGAAAUUAAAAAUAGAAACAUAUGUGAUCUCUAAAAAUACAAUGGUUAAGCAAUUUUUUUCUUUGGGUGGUAGAGAAACAGAAACAAAAACUAAACCGGGCUGAGGAAAGUGGUUUUCUAUUAUUUGUUUUAAAUUAAUUAUUUAACAUCAUAUGUAUUUUCCAAUUUAUGAUAUAAAUCAAAUUAAAUUAGAUUCGGAAGGACUCGAUGGUUCCAAAUUAAGGAGGAGGAGGAGGAGAAGAAUCGUCCUGGGGAGCACUCGCAGCUAAAGAGAACAUGGAUUUGUUGGCUUAAGGAAAUGCACGUAUUGCGAGCAUUUACUUCACCUGCCAUUCAAAUCUGUGCGCAUUAACACGCACAGCAUUGCGUUUCCUUGUGUAUAGAUUUUGGUUUUGUUGCUUGAGAUGUUUGCAAUCAGAUGUUGAUACGAGCGGAAGAUCUCUUUGACGUUUCUCUAACCCUUCUCAAGUCCAAGCACCAGUCUCAGUUGAAUGACAUGAAUGGUGAGAAGAUGCUGCAGCAGUUGUUCCUGAUGAGAGACAGGGAUAGAGGAUGCCUCAUUUGCAGUUCGCUUAGGAUUCGAGGAGAGACGGAGCCGUUACAGCCGUACACAAUCGUUUAUUAUAUUAAAAAUAAAAAAAUAUUUUAAUAUAAUUUCAAUAAAAAAUAAAUAUUUUGUACCUUAAGAAAACAAACAGAAGCGUCUAUUUUUAAACGGUAACAUGUGCUACCUCUUAGAUUAGUUGUCAAUUCAAGAAUAGAAUAGGACACCUAAUUUAUGUGAAUUAUUAGCUGCAAUGUCUUUUUAUAGUCCAAUAAUUUGAUCCCCGUGCCCAGCGUUACACGCUGUGAGUUAGAUUACAAAAAUUCUAAGAAGAAAUAAAAAUUAUGUAUUACUAAGUGUUUCUUAACCAAGAAAAAUAAUUUAAUUGAAAAUUAAUUAAUAUAUCAUUGGUACUGUGAUGGUUGUUAUUAUUACGGUUUAGAAAAAUAAGUUUUUAAUUGUAGAUUUAAAAAAGUAAGUUUUUUUAAAAUAAAUAUUUUAUUAAAAUUGCUGUAAAAUAAAUAAAAAUUUUAAUUUCUAUAUAAAUAAGAUUUAAAAUACAGUUAUAUAUAAAUCAUGAUAAAAAAUAAAAAUUAUUUAGCCGAUCGAAUAUUAUUUUUUAAUAAUCGGGCCAAACACCAAAUAUUAAAAUUGCAUACACCACAGUACAAAUUGAGUUUCACUCCUCUUAAAGUAAGAAUUCACAUAUCGCAAAGCAAUCGCGCGAAACUUCCAGCAUCAUAAUAUCACAUCCUCCACGGUAUCGUUCGCUCAAUAAUAUAAUAGAAUAUUAUUGACUUUGAUGCUUUUUGUGAAUGUGACAGUGAUUAUGUUUACUUUUCCUCUUUCAAGGCCGGCGUCUUUUUGAGCCGGGUCUGUCUUCGGGUAUUUUCCUUUCCUCUCUCUCUCUCUCUCUCGAUCGAUAUAUAUGUGUAUAUAUAUAUAUAUAUAUAUAUAUGUAUAUAUAUAUAAUCUCAUCGCCAAAGGAAAUCUCAUCCUCAUCGCCAAAGGAAAUCUCUCAAACACAUGCUGGAUGAUCACGGGGGAGAGCAUCCAUACAAAAAUGGGCGCGCAGAGGACUUCUUUGGGAGCAACUCAAAGAAAGUCAUGCCUG